UUCUACGAUACGUAAAAAACU
ensembl:piRNA 21ur-9796 ncRNA